UCCCUGGUGGCUCAGUGGUAAAGAAUCUGCCUGCCAAUGCAGAAGACAAAGGUUCGAUCCCUGUGUUGGGAA
rnacentral:tRNA from 1 species